CCUGAAGGAAUUAACCAGACUUUAAAUAUACUUCUAAGCAUAUCUGGAGUUAUUAAUUUUAUUCUAUCCUUUAGAAUAUGCAUUUUAAAUGUUGUUAUCCAUAGCUAAAACAACAAUAUAAAUCUAAAAAAAAAAAAUUAGACAGCAUAAUAUUAUGGGUUUCAGAAAGUUAUGCACUUCCUCUUAACUUGCCUCUGAAACCCAGGACUGCAUGUAUUAGUUUAUAAAUCUUCCACUCAAAACUCUGAAUAGGCUUCAAAUCCUUGCAAGUUGUUUCAAUUAAUGAAGUGACAGAACUGUUUUCUAAAAAGACACUAAGGAAAAAUUUGCAGUAAGGCAAUAUAUUUCUACUGUCAGCAUAAAUGCAAACACUACUAAGACUAAAAAUCAGUGUGGUUUUGUGCUUUUACACAUCAGUUUGUUCUUUUUUUUUUUUUAAAGCCAGAAGCCAAAAAAUAACAGUCUCGUUCUCAAUUAAGGAAAAAAAUACAGAAACACCACACGUGUGUUUCUCACAAGUCACAGUCAUUGCUAAAGGUUCAUUUCAAGCAGAGGAAUCCUGAAGAUUCUACCACUUUUAAGGACUCUACAUAGCUGAGCCACGACAGGAUGUGUAUCCUGUGAGAAGACUCUUUCCAUCAUCCUCCUAAGCAUCUGCUUCAAGGCAUCUGGAUGAACAAGAAAAGCUAAAUCCCCUUGUAUCCUGUAUCCUCCCACAGGACAUAAAAAAAAAAAGAUACACUGCAGGCAGGAGAGGAAAUGCACUUUCCCUUCUGAACAACAGAUGACCAGAGAAAAGACCAGGCUAACAAAAUCCGGGGAUGACAAUUCCUCAGUUGUCCUGAACCUCUCAUCAAGAAGAAAAGGCGCUUGUUCUACACCAUAAAAAAAUGAAGUUGCUCUGUUCCUAGAAAACAAAUGUUUACCUGAAUGUUUAUUGCCUAUCCUAGAGAAACGGCUUUAGCAUGUACUGAAAAUUGGUUGAGAAGAGUCAUUCAACUUCUGGCACUUCCAUUUCAAAUUCCAGGAGAUACCCAGAGAUGAAUGUUGACAGCAAAAAUGCUUAGCACUCCUCCUCCUCCACAGAGUGAGAAGAAAUAUACAUCACCUAAAUCAUGUAUUUAUUAACUGUUUUCACACUUGCACGAGCACUCACAACUGAGUACAGUCCUCUUUACGUACCUUUACUGCACCAUCCCGUUCAUCAAAAUGAAUGAAAGCGUAGUCUUUUAGCUUCUUCACUCGCUCUAGCUUUCCAAACUGACUGAAGGCCUUUUCUAGUAUCUCCUCUGUUACAGUGUUGGCGAGAUUGCGGACAAACAGAACUUUUACCUAGAAAGCAAAUUAGUUAAGAUUUAGAAGUGUGAUCCAAAAGACCAAAUAAAGUUUUGCAAAUCGUUA